rnacentral:rRNA from 1 species
AUUGAACGCUGGCGGCAGGCCUAACACAUGCAAGUCGAGCGGAUGAAGGGAGCUUGCUCCUGGAUUCAGCGGCGGACGGGUGAGUAAUGCCUAGGAAUCUGCCUGGUAGUGGGGGAUAACGUCCGGAAACGGGCGCUAAUACCGCAUACGUCCUGAGGGAGAAAGUGGGGGAUCUUCGGACCUCACGCUAUCAGAUGAGCCUAGGUCGGAUUAGCUAGUUGGUGGGGUAAAGGCCUACCAAGGCGACGAUCCGUAACUGGUCUGAGAGGAUGAUCAGUCACACUGGAACUGAGACACGGCCCAGACCCCUACGGGAGGCAGCAGUGGGGAAUAUUGGAAAAGGGGCGAAAGCCUGAUCCAGCCAUGCCGGGGGUGUGAAGAAGGUCUUCGGAUUGUAAAGCACUUUAAGUUGGGAGGAAGGGCAGUAAGUUAAUACCUUGCUUUUUUGACGUUACCAACAGAAUAAGCACCGGCUAACUUCGU